GAUUACCUUGCUAUUAACACUGGACUCUGACUUGCAUUGCGUUUCGGAUUAAUAUUUUGGACAUUAUGAACAUUAUGAAGUGCAUCAACUGCGGAGUAGCCAUGCAAAGGUUGCAAAGGCAUCUCAUAUCCUCGCUUUCUGCACACGAUCAAAUAAGACUUUCGCGUUGGAUAAACAUGGAUCAAACACAGUUACCUCUGGAUACAUUUAUUUGUCAUCCAUGUUUCUUAUUAUUAAAUACCGAAACUGGUGAACAUGAGAGACUACUGGGGCAUAACAAGGUUUGCCUUGGUUGUGGCAAAUCUGUGAGCAAAAUAAGACACCAUAAUCUUAGCAUGGAGAGUCCAUUGCUGGCAGUCCUAUUAUCACAAAAUACUAAUUAUGUGCUCUCAAGAAACAACUAUGUUUGUCAUGUGUGUUGGAUGCGAGCAAAUAGACAGGCAGUGCAUGACUCAUCACGAGACAUUCAGGAAUUGGCUUCGAACAACAAUGCAGCAGCCCAUAUUGUUCAAGUGGUUAGACCUCCAGAACCACCACCAAUACCUCCUGUUCAAAAUAGGCCAAUUCAAAGAGAAAAUACUACCAUAUCAUUACCUAAUUAUAAGCGACCGUCAAUCACAUCUGUUUGCUGUAUAUUUCAGCAAUGCCGAAACAGAUCUUUACAUUUGG
rnacentral:misc_RNA from 1 species